AUGGACUUCUGUUGUCUAUUCCCCCAACCCCUACUACGGGGUCAUAUGCAAAUGCCUGCAGGCACUGAGAUGCAGAUUGCAUGUAUGCUGAGUGUCCGCUGCAGUUGCAGCAUCCCUCAUGUCUCCAAAGCUGUCCCUUCUUCCACACAAAGUGCCACGAUACCACUACGCCAUCAGGUGACAGCAGAUCAAGUUAGUAUGUACAAGGGGAUGAAGGGUGGUGAGGAGAAGAAAACUUGUGGGCGUUGGUUUUCUCCUUCCAGCACUAGUUAAGGGGUCUGAACUCAGGUCACCGUCAAUCCUGGAAGCAAGUGGAUUUACCUCGAGCCAUCCCUCCUACCUGUGUACGGGAAGUCUGAACUGCUGCCACGUCAAUGACUCUCCUCAGAUUUCCCCAAGUAGCUGAGAGACUUGGAACAGGUUGCUUCCUUUACUGGAUCUGAAUGCUCUCAAUAAAAUAUGCUUGCAUUAGUCA
rnacentral:lncRNA from 1 species